AGGUACGGGUACAGAUACAGGUGCAGGUAUGGGUACAGAUGCAGGUAUGGGUACAGAUACAGGUGCAAGUACGGAUACAGAUACAGGUGCAGGUAUGGGUACAGAUACAGGUGCAGGUAUGGGUACAGAUACAGGUGCAGGUAUAGAUACAGGUGCAGGUAUGGGUACAGAUACAGGUGCAAGUACGGAUACAGAUACAGGUGCAGGUAUGGGUACAGAUACAGGUGCAGGUAUGGGUACAGAUGCAGGUAUGGGUAACAGAUACAGGUGCAGGUAUGGGUACAGAUACAGGUGCAAGUACGGAUACAGAUACAGGUGCAGGUACGGGUACAGAUACAGGUGCAGGUAUGGGUACAGAUGCAGGUAUAGAUACAGGUGCAGGUAUGGGUACAGAUGCAGGUAUGGGUUCAGAUACAGGUAUGGGUAUAGAUACAGGUGCAGGUAUAGAUACAGGUGCAGGUAUGGGUACAGAUACAGGUGCAGGUAUAGAUACAGGUGCAGGUAUGGGUAUAGAUACAGGUGCAGGUAUAGAUACAGGUGCAGGUAUGUGUACAGAUACAGGUGCAGGUAUAGAUUACAGGUGCAGGUAUGUGUACAGAUACAG
ensembl:lncRNA